rnacentral:rRNA from 1 species
CCUACGGGAGACAGCAGUGAGGACUAUUGGUCAAUGGACGAGAGUCUGAACCAGCCAAGUAGCGUGAAGGAUGACUGCCCUAUGGGUUGUAAACUUCUUUUAUAUGGGAAUAAAAUGUUCCACGUGUGGCAUUUUGUAUGUACCAUAUGUAUAAGGAUCGGCUACCUCCGUGCCAGCAGCCGCGGUAAUACGGAGGAUCCGAGCGUUCUCCGGGUUUAUUGGGUUUAAAGGGAGCGUAGGUGGAUUGUUAAGUCAGUUGUGAAAGUUUGCGGCUCAACCGUAAAAUUGCAGUUGAAACUGGCAGUCUUGAGUACAGUAGAGGUGGGCGGAAUUCGUGGUGUAGCGGUGAAAUGCUUAGAUAUCACGAAGAACUCCGAUUGCGAAGGCAGCUCACUGGACUGCAACUGACACUGAGGCUCGAAAGUGUGGGUAUCAAACAGGAUUAGAUACCCGGGUAGUC